GGCCUUGCGCGAUGCAGGAAGUGGGACCCCUGGCGGCUAGGGCGACCAAAGGGCGGCUUCCCAGAGGAGGCCCCCCAGCUGCCUGCCCUCCCCAGCCGCUCCUGGCUUCCUGCUCUGCACGGAGCCCGCUGUGAAGCCCUGGGAACUGCGGAGGCCCCAGCCAAGGUCCAAGAUCCGCUCACUUCUUCCUGGCAAAAGCCUCUGAAGGAGGUAUUAUUGCAGCCUUCAUCUUCUAGGGGGAGGAGACAGACCGGAAAAGACUUGGCCAGCAGGAUGAUACCUGGAGUCAUGAACUUCAACCCUGUAGCAGGGGAGAGACCUCUGCGUUCCUGUAGGCUCCAAGCCUCAGCAAGGCCUGCCUCCCAGUACCCGCCUCAGCCCUUCCAGGUCCCUGUCCCCCACCUCCCCCAAGCCUGCUCCAAUCCCUGUCUGUGCAGCAGUCGCCCUGAGGCCGUGUCAGCUGUGUCUGCCUAGACAAACCUGAAGGAUUUUCCUCAGUGACUGCAAACCUCAUUUUAUCAGCCUUCAGGUUCUCAAUCUUCUGCAGGGGCCACAGACUUGGAAAGAGGCUCUAGCCCUCGGCUCUGCAGGAGAAGACAUUUGAUUUUGUUAGGUCCAGAGGGUCCUACUCUAGGGAACCUGUGGAAUGAACCAGGUGUCAUGUGGCUACUCCUCUGUAGUGAGUGACCUGAGUACUCUGUCCACGACCGGGGCUAAGGAGACCAGCUCGGUGGAGUGUAAAUGAUACUACUGGCCCAAGUCACAGUUGAGGAAACUGAGGCCCAGCUUGCCCCACCCAGUUCAUCGAGGGAUUUAACAGAGUCAGGACAUGGAUCGGCAUGUCCUGCCCCGCUGAGCUGGGGCUCAGACGUGCUGCUGGCUCUGCUGUACCUCCUGUCCUUCCCCCUGUCACCUCUCCCACAUCCCACAAGCCCCCAGCUCACUACUAAUGGUAGAGACACAAAAGAUGAAUAGAACAUAGUCUUGACCCUCUGGCUGAGCAAAUGCUAAGCUAAAUGGUAGAUCUGGGGGCCCCAGCAUAAGGCUGGUCUAUGUAAUCAGCUGUCACUGCCCAUGAUGGACAUUGCUAAUCAGUCACAGCGUUCUCUGUGUUUAAAGCUCAGAUUUUGAGUCGUUGGAGAUUUAAAUAAAAAUUUGCUAGAAUUUCCUCCCUCACAUUUUGUGGAAAUCUGAUGAUAUCUCCAAGAUUUCUUCAA